GACGAACCGUGCGAACGUUGUUCGGAUUCACUGGGCUUAAAGGGCGCGUAGGCGGGCCUCUCAGUCCGGGGUGAAAGCUUUCGGCUUAACCGGAAAAGUGCCUUGGAUACUGGAGGUCUCGAGUGAGGUAGGGGCAGUCGGAACUUCCGGUGGAGCGGUGAAAUGCGUUGAUAUCGGAAGGAACGCCGGUGGCGAAAGCGGACUGCUGGACCUUUUCUGACGCUGAGGCGCGAAAGCCAGGGGAGCGAACGGG
rnacentral:rRNA from 1 species